rnacentral:rRNA from 1 species
CCCCGAGUGGCAGACGGGUGAGUAACGCGUGGUCAACCUACCCUCGAGCGGGGGAUAACUAACCGAAAGGUUAGCUAAUACCGCAUGAAACGUAGUGGGUAAUCCCGCAACGUUGAAAGGAGCAAUCCGCUCAAGGACGGGACCGCGUCCGAUUAGCUAGUUGGUGAGGUAAUGGCCCACCAAGGCUACGAUCGGUAGCUGGUUUGAGAGAGCGACCAGCCACACUGGGACUGAGAAACGGCCCAG